CGUUUGUAAGAGGAAAGUUAUUAUACGCAUGCGCAGUGAAAUUACAUUUUUUGAAGGUUUUUUAAAAUGGCUACGGUAACAGGAUUUUAGAAACUAAUCAUUGACAACGAGUAAUUUGUUUAAUUUUAGAUAAUUAAAUAGGCUUUUAACUAGUUUUUUCAUGAAAUUAUUUUAAAAAUAGCUUGCAGCUGUACGAAGAAAUUUUAAAAAUAAAAUACAAGAUCUCUGAAUGUGAAUAAUAUCUACUUUCAACUAAAGCAACUUUAGUUUUUUUGUUUACAAUUUUUAAACCUUUUUUAAAAUAUUUUUGAGCGUAGAAAUUUUUUAAUUUAAAUUUAUUCAGCAAGAUGAACCUUUUAUCUAUUUUGUAUUUUUUGCUUAUAUGAGGAUUCAAUUUUUUUUGCAGGGUUAAAAGAAAAUCUUAAUCAUUAAACUUGUGUAACCUGUUGCUAUGGUGCUCUUUUCCGAUUAUUCCAACCAUAUUCGCGUUUCAACAAAGAAACUUGCCUGUUGUAAAGAAGGGAAAAGUAAACUAAAGCAGAAAGACUUUUUCUUGGAACUCGAUAUAAAUAUUUUUUGUGUUUCGUGUUUAAAUUUUUUUUUUUAAUGUUUUCAGCUUGAGAUUGUUAAAAUCAAUAUGAGUAUAUUUAAAAUAUUUUUUACUUAAAGAUUGAAA